rnacentral:lncRNA from 1 species
UGACGCUUUCAUAAGAUAGAAGGACCAUAAUGAUUUUCAGCAACCAUGAGAUGUCGACAACACGUCCAAACGAGUCCAAAAGCAUCGACGAAUUUGCAGAGUCAAUGAAACAUGGCUGAUAAUUUUCCCAAGGCAUAAAAAUCAAAAUUAUAUAAUUAAUAAAAAUAUUAGGCUCGAUUUUCGUCAGUUUUGCUGAAUUCCUGCAUGGCCAAACCGAUUUCCAAAUCGUCACUGACGUACUAGGGCGCCGACAGGGUCCGGCAUCAACUUCACCGAAACACACAAAUGAGUAGUGCUUCUUGAAGGUUUCGACGAGAGGAAUCCAAAAAUGAUGUCAGN